CGAACAGGUCCUGCGCAACGGGAACCUCUGAACCGUGUCAGGUCCUGACGGAAGCAGCACUAAGGAGACACUCCCGUGUGCCGCAGGGGUGCCUGAUCCGAGC
rnacentral:SRP_RNA from 1 species